UCAAGUAAAUACUGCAUCAGGCGAAUGCCUAGGCACCAAGAGGCGAAGAAGGACGUGAUAAGCUGCGAAAAGCUGCGGGUAGGAGCAAAUAUCCCAUAAACCGCAGAUCUCCGAAUGGGAAAACCCAUACAGACAAACUCUGUAUAUCCCCUACUGAACACAUAGGUAGGAGGAAGCGAACCGGGAGAACUGAAACAUCUAAGUAUCCCGAGGAAAAGAAAGAAACCUCGAUAUCCCAAGUAGCGGCGAGCGAACGGGACAGAGCCCAAGCGUACAGACGAAAGGGAAAGAUAGUCGAACCAACUGGAAAGAGGACCAAAGAGAGUAACAGUCUCGUAGGCGAAAUCAGAACCAAUCAGUACAAAAGAGUACCACAGGACACGAGAAAUCCGGUGGGAAGACAGGGGGACCACCCCCUAAGGCUAAACACUACUUGGUGACCGAUAGCGAACAAGUACCGUGAGGGAAAGGUGAAAAGAACCCCGGGAGGGGAGUGAAAAAGAAUCUGAAACCUGAUGUAAACAAGCAGCGAAAAUGGAAAUAUCCAUGAUCGUGUACUUUUUGUAGAACGGGCCAGCGAGUUAUGGUAUUAAGCAAGACUAAGCAUUACAGAUGCGGAGUCGUAGAGAAAUCGAGUCUUAAAAGGGCGAAAGUUUAAUGCCAUAGACCCGAAACCGUGUGAUCUAUCCAUGAGCAGAGUGAAGUUGAAGUAAAAUUCAAUGGAGGCUCGAACCGGGUAGCGUUUAAAAGCUAUCGGAUGACUUGUGGAUAGGGGUGAAAAGCCAAACGAACACGGAGAUAGCUGGUUCUCCUCGAAAUAGCUUUAGGGCUAGCCUUAACGAGAACGUAAUUAGGGGGUAGAGCACUGAAUCGCCAAGGGGUGCAUAGCAUUACCGAGGCCUAUCAAACUCCGAAUACCAAAUUACAAAGUUAGGAGUCAGACAAUGUGGGAUGAGCUUCAUUGUCAAAAGGGAAACAACCCGGACCACCGGCUAAGGUCCCAAAAUAUAGUUAAGUGGAAAAGGGGGUAAAAUUACUGAGACAACUAGGAUGUUGGCUUAGAAGCAGCCAUACAUUUAAAGAGUGCGUAAUAGCUCACUAGUCAAGUGAUUUUGCACCGAAGAUAACCGGGGCUAAACUAUAUACCGAAGCCGUGGAUCGCAAGAUAGUAGAGGAGCAAUGUAUAAGAUUUGAAGCAAAAGGCGUAAGCCAUUGUGGAUUUUAUACAAGAGAGAAUGCUGGCAUGAGUAGCGCAAGGCGAGUGAGAAUCUCGCCCAUCGAAAACCCAAGGAAUCCUGAGGAAGGCUCGUCCACUCAGGGUAAGUCGGGACCUAAGGCAAGGCCGAAAGGCGUAGUCAAUGGACAACAGGUUGAAAAUCCUGUACCGAUUCAAUCGUCAAAGUAAGUGGGGACGCAGAAGGUAAAAAGCAGCGGCCAGUUGGUGAGCCGUGCAACCACAAAGGAAGAGAUGUAGGCAAAUCCGCAUCUCGUAAUUCUGAAGUGGGAAGCAGAUCGAAAACAAGUAGAGAAUUGCCCGUAGCCAAGCUGCCAAGAAAAGCCACUAUCCAGAGAAGAAUCGCCCGUACCGUAAACCGACACAGGUAGGUGAGGAGAGAAUCCUAAGAUGAGCGGAAGAACCUUUGUUAAGGAACUCGGCAAAAUGACCCCGUAAGUUAGCGAGAAGGGGAGCCUAACCAGAAAUGGAAGGCCGCAGUAAAAAGGCCCAAGCGACUGUUUACCAAAAACACAAGUUUCUGCCAAGUCGAAAGACGAAGUAUAGGAGCUGACACCUGCCCGGUGCUGGAAGGUUAAGGGAAAAAGUUAGCGCAAGCGAAGCUUAGAACCGAAGCCCCAGUAAACGGCGGCCGUAACUAUAACGGUCCUAAGGUAGCGAAAUUCCUUGUCGGGUAAGUUCCGACCCGCACGAAAGGUGUAACGAUUUGG
rnacentral:rRNA from 1 species